GCCGGGUGUGGUGGUGUGCACCUGUAGUCCCAGCUACUUGGGAGGCUGAGGCAGGAGAAUUGCUUGAACCCGGGAGAUGGAGGUUGCAGUGAGCCGAGAUCGCACCACUGCACUCCAGCCUGGGUGACAGAGUGAGACUCUGUCUCAA
rnacentral:SRP_RNA from 1 species